rnacentral:lncRNA from 1 species
GGUUUGACCGCAUUCCAAUAAAUCGUGGAGCGAGUUCUACGCAGUGGUAUCAGUCACCUUGAGUUAACACAAAUAAUCUGAGCGCAUGAAUUGGCGCUUAAACGGUGUCUAGUCGUGAAGUCCAAAUACGAUAUUAGUUUUUUUUAUUUUAUUUUCCUUUCUUUUCUCUAAGAGACACUUAACUUUACGGUGUCUAGUCGUUAAGUCCAAAUACAAUAUUACUUCUUUUUUUUCAAACUCCACAAACAUCAACAACAGCGCGUGCGUUCGUAUGUGCGUGUGGAUACAUAUUAUAUAGAUAGAUAGAUAGUGUGUGUGUGUGUGUGUGUGUGUGUGUGUGUGUGUGUGUGUGUGUGUGUGUGUGUGUGUGUGUGUGUGUGUGUGUCCUCGUAGAUAUAAACAUUGUUUUGGCCUGUGCUCACAAGCAUUACGUAGUGUCCUUCCCUCCUACCUUAUUGGUAUAUUGACAUAUUUAUGCAAGAAUUCAUAAUUCAUACUAAAAUACGUACAGGAACCUUACAUAAUCACACGUUCCAUAAAUCACUCAACUAGAAAAAUUGGAAAAAGACUGACUGACAUUAAUACCUUACAACUAAAUUUACAUUUACCUGAAUCACACCUCAUGCCAGAGACCAAGAAUCAACGUACAGUAUUUCUAAUAAUAAUUAUUGGAAAUAAUUGUCGGCUUACGGAAGACCAAGUGUGUUUUCCGCCAUGGCGGCUAUAUUCGGGUGAGUCGAGUGUUCGGGGGGUGUGCCUGCACGCAUUCGGAUACGUGCUGUGUCCUUUGGUUUAAGAGCACAUUUUGCUUUUUAAAAAAAUAAUUUGCUUUAAGUUGGUCAAAAAAAGUUGAUAGCGCAAUCCGAAAUACAUAACCACGAACGAUCCAACUAUCUUUCUAAUUCAUUAAUAUUAUAGUCUUUUCUAUUCGUAAGCAGUAUAUUGCGCAACCCUUUAGCAUGCACAUGUUCACAUUACUCAGAAAUACUUAUUCCUAUAUAGAACAGUCACCGUAAACAAAGACGAACCCGAGAUCUUAUUCUAAUGUCACACGCGUUCUCCCACCUGACAGACGGGCGUUUACCAUGUCUCCCUGUAUCUAUAUGGACAUCCAGCAGCUGUUUUUCAGACUGCUUAUGUUGCCUGCGUUCUUCUUCCUUUUGUGGAUCUUUUAUUGGGAAAUUGAGGACUACCAGCGCUCCUUCCAGAGUAGAGGCGGCCUUAUCUUCAACUGCGUGGCUGGAACUGCCUACCUUGCUACAGCUGCUACCUCAAAAACAUGUAAGCUCUUUCUCUCUUUGUAAAGGACUCAUUUCUGUAUCAUUUUAUUCCUUAUUAUCUAAAGUCUCUGAUUAAUUUCACAAAGUAGGCGGGCAUGAUCAUUACCCGCAACUCGAUUCAGUUACUAAUAAUGUUUUUUUCAUUUGUCUUUCAAUAUCCAGAUCACCCUGACCACCAAACUCAUGAACUCCACUAUUAAACAACAAUACAACUUCUUAACAAACAGCUCACCAAAGCCGUCUUGUAAUGACACAUAUAUUUUAAUUAUACUUCUGCAUAUAUAUAUAUAUAUAUAUAUAUAUAUAUAUAUAUAUAUAUAUAUAUAUAUAUAUAUAUAUAAAGGGCAGAUAACCUACACUUGAAGCAUGUCCACACGAGGGGCAGAGCAUGCACUAACACUGAACACUGAAAAUAUAUAAUUCAGUUCUUAAGUAGCGUUAUCAGAUCGAGCAGUUUCCAAGGGCAGACUUUGGCCAUUACUAGAGAUAUUUGAUUUCUGUCCCCAGGGGCACCAGCAUGAGCAAUUUGAUGGUUUGCCAAGGUUUCUUCACAGUCUCCACCUCCCAAAUGUGAGAACUGGUACACAAUUUGAUGACAUUGUUUGCCCAUAUGAGCACUGCCUCUCAUGUUGACACAGUAUUAAGUAGCAUAAUUGACAAUAAUACUGCUUCAUCGUGUUGCUCUGGUACAUGUAUGCUAAUGAUAUUCAUAAAACAGACUGAUGCUAACAGCAACAAAAUACAUUCACAUAUUUCAAUUUCUAUAUACUACUUUUGCACACGCUUUCAAAGAUUGUGCAUUAAACCCCUGAAAAGACUUUUUGAAAAGCUUCACACUAUAUUUAAUCUUUUGAAGACAUAAUGGAAUACUGAUGAUAAAUAGACAAAAUGUUAAGGAAACUGAAUUUAAUACAACUGAACUUAAUGAAGUACAUUCGAUAUACACAAUAUAUUUCAGUUUAUAAAAUAAAUGAGGGCAUGUUUAUAAUGCAAAUAUGAAAAACAAUUAAUAAAUCUGAAUUCAAAAUCGUUUCUCACAUCAGUCAUCAUGUAUAGUAUUUCUUACAAGAUCAUGCAUGCAGCUAGUACACACAAUUUCUCAGCCUAUGACUUUAACAUAUUAUAAUUAUGCUUGUUUAAUCUUUCAUUAUUUAUGUAUAAACGGCUAUAAAAGGACCAAAGAACACUUUAAAGAUAAAAACAAUUCAUACAUCAAUAAUGCCUAAUGUAAUGACUUUACAUAUGUAAAUAUUUACAUCCUGACCUGUCUGAAAAAAAGGCAGAAUUAUGAUUUUUUAAUUAUUUUUGAAGCUCUACCUGAACACCAUAUACUUUAAUAAAAUAACUAUUUUCUUUACAACUGUAUGCAAAAUACUAAAUUAUAGGAGGAGUAAGCACUGAGUAAAAUAAAUGUCAUU